rnacentral:misc_RNA from 1 species
AAGUCGUAACAAGGUUUCCGUAGGUGAACCUGCGGAAGGAUCAUUAACACGUAUCCAACGUUAAAACCCCCCGUGAACCUUUAUUGUGGCACGCCUAUCCGUUAGAAAGUGGCAAUCCCUGGUAAAUCAUCGCCGAACAGUUUUGAUUCAGGGACUUCUGCGUGGGUAGGACAACUGCGCGAGCAAGUGGCCUGGCAUCCCUCUGCUUGUUAGUGUCUGAAAGUGUCACUAGCUCUGUACGGGUGGCGCAAUCACGAUCGCUAGAGGCCAACACGGCCGGCGACCGGGUCAAGGGGCCUCGGCCCCCUAAUCACCUUUUUGAAACUCGAACAACUGUUAACAAUGGAUAUCUUGGUUCUC